GCGGGAAUGCUGGUGGGGAGGUUGCGCGCGCGAGCCACGCCUCCUGCGAUCCGUGGGCGAGAGCGAGGCUGCUGGAGGGCGGCGGGGCGAGAAGAGGAAGGAGAUCUACCGACCUGUGGCGAGCUGCUGAGGCGACGCCGCUCGACUCAGCCGUGCCGAAUAAAGUGAUAUAAUUGCUACUGAAGAGAUGGCUGUGCCCUUCAAAAAGGAUCUGGAGAAAUAUAAAGAUAUUGAUGAGGAUGAACUUCUUGGCAAACUGAGUGAGGAGGAAUUGAAGCAGCUGGAAAAUACCCUUGAGGAACUGGAUCCAGAGCAUGCACUCCUGCCAGCAGGCUAUCGUCAGAAGGACCAGACUCUUAAAUCCCCAACAGGCCCCUUUAAUAGAGAACAGCUUCUCUUAUUCUUGGAGAAAGAGGCCUUGGAAUACAAAGAUAGAGAAGAUUUUGUGCCUUUCACUGGAGAGAAAAAAGGAGCAGCAGCAGCGGCCACUACUUCAGGGAAAUUAUGGAAGCCCAAGCAGAAACCUGUGGAGCAGCAUGUGGAAGAGAAAGUAAUUUUGGAUCCAGAACUGGAAGAAGCUUUGACCAGUGCAUCAGAUACUGAGCUCUGUGAUCUUGCAGCUAUUCUCGGAAUGCACAAUUUGAGCAACACACAUUACUGUGAUUCAGUUGGUGGAAACAAGGGUUUGAACAAUGUUGUCAAAGGUGAGAAGGUCAAACCUGUUAUGGACGAACCUCCCAACCCGACAAAUGUAGAAGAAAGUUUACAGCGAAUAAGAGCCAAUGAUCCUGGACUUGUGGAGGUUAAUCUGAAUAAUAUUAAGAAUAUUCCAAUUCCAACGUUAAAGGAUUUUGCGGAAGCUUUGAAAAAAAAUUCUCAUCUGAAGAAGUUUAGCUUGGCAGCUACUCGGAGUAAUGAUCCCAUUGCUUUUGCCUUAGCAGAUAUGCUCCAAGUAAAUACAACACUACGAAGUUUAAAUAUUGAGUCAAACUUCAUUACUGGUGCUGGUAUACAGGCAAUCAUAGAUGCACUGAAAGAAAAUGAAACCUUAAUGGAGAUCAAGAUUGAUAAUCAGCGCCAGCAACUAGGUGCAACGGUUGAAAUGGAAAUAGCAGAAAUGUUGGAAACAAACACCUCAAUCUUGAAAUUUGGGUAUCAGUUUAUGCAACAAGGACCACGGUCAAGAGCAGCAGCAGCCAUAACUAAAAACAAUGAUUUAGUUGCUGUCAUCUUGGUUCUCCUCUCUGGGAUAUGAGUUAAUUAUACUCAGGCACCUUUCCAGCUGUUCGGCCAUGAAGUUUCAAAUGUUCGCAAGAAGCGAGUUGAAAAAGAUGCAUAUUAACAGUAAUCUGGAGCCUGUCUGCCUGGUGCUGUAUUUCAUCCUAUGGAAGAUCCACUACAGUGUAUUGGGCAAGUUGCCAAGCCUAGGUCAAGGCAUUCAUACAUUUACUGUCUGGGUAGAAGGGAAAAGACUGGAAUUUAACUCCUAAACUGUUAGUAAUAAAUGUAGUUUGACAUAACUUUUAUCCACAAACAUCAUUUUAACUUUUUUUUUCCCCAGAGGUCUCGUGAAUUGCACCAAACUAUCUUGAUAUGCAAAAAUGUUAAACUAAAAUCUCCAGGACAGGAAAUACGUUUAACUUGAAGUUUGCACUGUGCCCAACAUCGUGUUUUUAAUCUUUUUUAAACUAAUUAAAGUUGUGCUAAAUUUGUAGUUCCUUGUGCAGUUAAAUGUAAUUUUUGUGCUGCACUUGUUUCCAAUGUAACUUAGACAAAAUACUUUUUUUUAAUUUUGUAUUAAUUAAAAGCUAUAAUGAAUUUUGUCUUGGGACUUUGAUUUGGCCAUACUGUGCAGAGUUAAACCAUGACCACUAAAGGUAACUGAAUUUUCACAUUAAUGUGGGAAGAACAAUUCAAAUCAAGUCUUAAUAUGCAGUUCUUCGGACUUCUGCCAAAAAUGCUGCUUGCAAAUCUUAAAUUCGUUGAUAUUCCUCUGCUGCAAAUUAAUUUUAUUACCAAUAUGAUUUGCUUUGGAAAAUGUUAGAAAGUAAUGAAAUGUUUGUAGAUAAUCUGAAUGGACUAAGUUAGUUGGCAUUAGUCAUAAUUUUAACCAAAGAUCUAAAUCUGACUGACAGUUUUAUUCUCCUAAUGUAUUAAGUAUUGAAGCCUGCAUACAGUUUCAGUAGGCAAGUGAGAUUCUAUGAAGUACAAAAGCUAAUAGUAUUUGGAAAACAUCUGCAAAAUGCCCACAUCAGGUGUUUAUGGUUUGUUUAAAGAAAAUGCCAAGAUCCAUGCCAACCUGCACUGAAAGCUCUGUGCAGAAAAAAAUUACCUUAUGCCCCCUUAAAUUUUUAUAUGCUGAUUAUUUUAAGGUUUGUCUAAUGUGUGUAUAUAUUUAAAAUAAAACCUGUGGCAGCAUGACUAAUAUUACAGGAAAUAUUUUGAAUGCUAGAAAAUCUAUGCACAUGAUUGCAUUUUGUGGUAGGUUGCUUAAAGGACCAAGUUGUGAAUGCUGUCUGAUUAAGUCCUGGGCCUUAAGUGUUUGUUAAGCUAUGUUAUGACUAAUAAAAAGCUAUGUCACUGUUUGUAAGUCCAUGCAUAAUGUUUUCUGUCAGCUGAUGCAUUGCAUUGACAUGGUGGUUCUUUCAAGCAUUCAUUUAAUGGGAUUUUAUAAAGAAAUUUGUUAACUGAACGGUUUGAAAUUUAAGCUUAAUCAUAUAAAACACAUUGAUCAUGAUUGGGAACCUGACUUGUAGUAAUUGUUCACAAACUAAAAAUGGAUCGUUUGACGUAAUUUUAUCACAUGUCCUUAUUUCUGAACUGGCAAAAUGCCCUUACAGAAGGUGUAGGAUUGUUCUGUUUCUUGAAUAAUAAUUGGUUACAAUCUAAGUAAAAUGCAUAUCAGAGCUAAUCUGUUAAAGGAGGAAAGCUUAUGUAAAAUACAGUGCUGUGUGUAUUUAAAAUGUACAGCAUUCUACAAUGAAACCUGAAUGGUAAUAAAGUUGAUACUU